UAGCUCUCAGAACACUCUUCCUUCUGUCUCGGUCUAUAGCCUUUCUUUCCACCCACCCUGGUGUUUUCAGCCACUCCCACUUGAGUACAUUUAAAUAUCCACCCGUAACAAAGCUUAAAACCUCAGUAAGGGGUCCGGGCUCCCCUGGAGACUGGGAGCCGGGGAGAGAGGAGGGCACCAAGCUGAGGAAGGCAAGAAUUCCUCCACAAGGGGCCCUGAACUUCCAGGGACUUAACAGGGUAGACACUUGUGACAGAGCCCAAAACCAUGCCCUGACCAUUUCCAAUGUUAAACAAUGGGGAGUUCCCAUUGUGGCUCAGUGGUAAUGAAACUGACUAGUAUCCGGGAGGAUGCGGGUUCAAUCCCUGGCCUUGCUCAGUGGGUUAGGGAUCUGGGGUUGCCAUGAGCUGUGGUAUAGCUAUGAUGUAGAUGCAGCAGAUUGCUAUGGCUCCUACACCAGAGCCACAGCAACGUGGGAUCCAAGCCACAUCCUCAACCUACACCACAGCUCACUGCAACGCCAGAUCGUUAACCCACUGAGCAAGGGCAGGGAUCAAACCCGAAACCUCAUGGUUCCUAGUCGGAUUCGUUAACCACUGCGCCAUGACAGGAACUCCGACAGGGGAGGUUUUAACACAAAGACAUGAAAAAACAGUCCUUGUUCCCAAGAAGGUGAGUGACCCAGACACAUGGACCACUCAUGGUGAUAAGUGUGAAGAAGUCGAUGGUCCUGAAAGACCCCGGAACAGUGGGCGGGCACGAGAAGCCCUGGGACCCAGCUAGGCUGGUCCAAGAAGAAUUCGCAAGGACUUAAUGCUGGAACUGAGUCUUAAAGGUGGAGUCGGGAGGAGGAGGCCCUGGAUGGCAUGUUCCUGGCAGAAGAAGCCCAGCCCGAGAGCAGAGACACCAAGAAAGCUGGUGGUAAUUGGGAAACUAGGGGAUAAAGUGAACCCUGAGUGUGUGGCCCUGGGGACAGGUGAGACGUGUGGCCAGAAGCCAGAGCCAGUGCAGGAUGGACUUUGAGGCCAGCAAGGAGGCCAAGGCUCCGGGAGAUUACAGAAGGACUGUGGACGGCAGAGACAUACGGUCAGAUUUACCAUUUCAGCAGGAAAGCCCUGGCUGAAACGUGCAGAACGGUUUGGAAGGAACACAACCAGAGGGACACGGAGCACAUUUGGGAAGCUGUUACGAUAAAAUCACCUGGAAACGAUGAUCCUUGGAAGUCUCUCUCUCCAC
rnacentral:lncRNA from 1 species